CGUAGUAAAAGCACGUAUUGUGCUUCAAAUUAGAAAUUAAAAUAGCUGACUUUUUUCUAUCUUAACUAGCUGUAGUGUUGGCUGGCGGUGGUCACUCUGCUAAUGGUGCUGUGGCCCAAGGCUCCCAAUCUGAAGGGGAUUCUAACAACACAACUAUAUUUGUUGGAGGGCUUGAUUCUGAAAUCAGCAAUGAGGAUCUCAGACAACCGUUUUUGCAAUAUGGCGAUGUUGUCUCCGUGAAAAUUCCAAUCGGUAAAGGAUGUGGCUUUGUUCAACUUGCUGACAGAAAGAAUGCUGAGGAAGCUAUUCAGGGAUUGAAUGGAACAGUGAUCGGGAAGCAGACCGUGCGUCUUUCUUGGGGUCGCAGUCCGGGAAAUAAGCAUUGGAGGAAUAAUGAUUCGAAUGGAAACCAUUAUGGCGGGCAAGGUUACGGUGGUCACGGAUACGGAGGCCAUGGAUAUGCUGCUAGACAGAAUCAGGAUAUAGCGAUGCAACAACCUGCAGCUGCAAUUCAAGGGGCUUCGUAACGGCCAUAGCGCGUUGCGUCGCGGCUGGUAUUGAAAUAGGAUGAACUUUAUUGCUCUGAUAAGUGAACUGUAGUGUUAUUUUUGAAUUUGUAGCU